AAGGCACAAAUUGGGGAGGUAGUCGGCCCUGAAGCCGUGGAAUUCCCUCGCACGAAGAAGAGGGUUUUUAAACCCAAAGGCACAAUCCAUGCAGGCACUCCACCACAGGCAUCUUAGUUUCUCAAACCAGAGACCAGCACAACAGACCUUCUAAAGUCUCUCCUCUGUCCACUACGACUUGCUCUCAUGUUAAUGCGCUUGAGAAACUCCUUGGCAUGUUUUAAGGCUCCACAGCGCUGAAAGGAGUGGGAACACAAACCAACCCCAGCAAAGUGACCGAUGGGGAUAUAAAACACUGGGCUCUGUAUUGAAGGGCAGAGGUCCCAGAUCCAGCCCCCGGGUGCAGCAGGACAUGCUCUGGAGGAGCUCUGUGCUCAGAACAUUUCAAACAAAGCAUUAGAUGAGCGCAGCUCACCGAACCUUCACUUUUUGCCUCUCUAUGCACCCACAGUUGCGUUCCUCCUUGUGGGACAUAGAGGCAGCAUCUCACUUGAAACUCUGAUAGAAGUCAACUCGUA
rnacentral:lncRNA from 1 species